GGCCGGGCAUGGUGGCUCACGCCAGCACUUUGGGAGGCCGAGGUCCCAAGAUAAAGAACGCCAUUCAGGAAUCGUGCAGGCAUAGCUGGACUGGAUGGACUUAUGUCAAAUGACUACAGUCAAGAUCCUGGUGCUUAGAGUGGGCAAAACCUGAUGUUCCCAGUGUGUGUCUACAGACAUCCAACUCUGACCCACUGUGGAGGCCACAGCCUGUAAUGGAUCAGAGGAC